rnacentral:rRNA from 1 species
UACGUAGGGGCAAGCGUUGUCCGGAAUCAUUGGGCGUAAGCGCGUGUAUGGCGGCUCGAUAAGUCAUUGCUGUGAAAGUUCAGGGCUCAACCCUGAAAUGCCGGUGGAAACUGUCGGGCUAGAGUCCGGAAGAGGCGAGUGGAAUUCCUGGUGUAGCGGUGAAAUGCGCAGAUAUCAGGAGGAACACCAAUGGCGAAGGCAGCUCGCUGGGACGGUAACUGACGCUGAGACGCGAAAGCGUAGGGGAGCGAAACAGG